CCUGUUGUGAACUGCUCAUCUGAGGGAUCUAGGUUGUGUGCUUCAUAUGAGAAUCUAAUGCCUGAUGAUAUGUCACUGUCUCACUUUGCCCCCAGAUGAGACCAUCUAGUUGCAGAAAAAUAAGCUCAGAGUUUCCACGGAUUCUACAUUAUGAUUUGAUCUUCAACAAAGCUGACACUGGGGAAAGGACACACUCUUCAAUAAAUGGUGCUGGGAAAAUUGGAUAGCCACAUCCAGAAAAAUGAAACUGGACCACUAUCUCACUAUAUACAAGAAUCAACUCAAAGUAGAUUAAAAACUUAAACAGAAGACCUGAAACUAUAAAAAUACUUGAAGAAAACCUAGGGAAAAAUUUCCUGGCCUUUUGUCUAGGCAAAGAAUUUAUGACUAACACCUCAAAAGCCACAAGCAACACAAAUAAAAAUAGACAAAUGGGACUUAAUUAACUUAGAAAGCUUCUGAGCAGCAGAAGAAAUAAUCAGCAGAGUGAAGAGACAACCUCCUGAAUGGAAGAAAAUAUUUGCAAACUGUUCAUCUAAUAGUGGGCUAAUAC
rnacentral:lncRNA from 1 species